rnacentral:antisense_RNA from 1 species
AAAGCAAGUUGAGUUGGGGUCGAGCUGUGUCCCUUUUUUCCUUUCGCUCUCUCGGUUAUCAUAACCUUGUAUUCCCUCUGGAAGGAAAUGGAAAUUCCUUUGGAUCAUCUUCUAGGUAAACAGUGUAAUUCGCUGCUUGAGGUGACAAACUUGCUCGGAUGAAGUCAUGGGAGCUGAAUGAAUUGGCCUGAAUCCCAAGAGGGGAGUGUUCAGGGCGCGCGUGUCCCUCGGAGAGGCUGAGGUAACGCUGGCUCCUUCCCGGGAGUCCCUGAACGCCCGGCUUUGGAAUCCGCAGACAGCUCUUCUAGUAGGGCGUUGGCACCUACUGACUAACCGUGCAGUCACUCAGCAGCUGUGAUGGUUGGUGACAUGUCUUUCACAGCCCAAGAUAGCCUCCCUAGACUGAGCAAACAAAAGAAAAGAGAAAAAAACUGGAGCUAGAAGUCGAUCAGUGAGUGAUUCCUAGCAACCCAAAAUGUUGGUUUAAUUAUUUUACUUAUAAGUUUGGUUAACCAGUAAAAAUUAUUCUCUGUGUCAUGGAGUUUUAAGGAGCAUCUACUAGAGAUGCUGCGUCCCACUUGGAACAAACUUGGUAAGCUCAUCUUGUACGUAAUUUCAAAUUAUGGAAAUUAUCCCCCAAAUUACGGCACCUCCAAAUGUAGCAUGGAAACUAAUAUUGAGAUGUCAACACAGGAUUAAUACAUAGUAAUCAAAGAGUGCUUAAAAAUUCAUUAAAAAUGAAGUCCCACCUCUAAAAGUGAAAUGUGCAAAUUAAAGUAGCGGUUAGAUAAUGUUUUGUCAUUUAAGUAAAAAUUACAAAGAAUCGACCGGGCGCAGUGGCUCACGCCUGUAAUCCCAACACUCUGGGAGGCCGAGGCGGGCGGAUCACCUGAGGUCAGGAUUUCAAGACCAGCCUGGCCAUGGCGAAACCCCGUCUCUACUAAAAAUACAAAAAAUUAGCCGGGCGUGGUGAUGCGCGCCUGUAAUCCCAGCUAUUCGGGAGGCUGAGGCUGGGAAUCGCUUGAACCUGGGUGCGAAACUCCGUCUCAAAACAAAAAAAAAAGAUUGCAAAGAAUCAGGGAUGUGAGGAAUCAGACACUCACGUACUGUUGGAUGAAAUGUAAAUACUGUAUAAUCUUCCUAAGGGAAAUAUUUGGAAGCACGAACAAACUUUUUAAAACGUUAGGACCCAGCAAUUCCAUUUUGGCAAAUUAAUCCUAAAGACAUUCUUUUAAAACAUGAACAAAGGUAUACAUUGGCAACAUUGUCUAAAGGAUCAAAGCAUUGCCAACCACUAAAAUGUCCCACAUUAAGUGAUUGGACAAAUUGCUUCACCUCUUGCUGUGUCAGUUUCCUCAUCUGUAAGAAACAGGAAUAAUAGGGUUGUGAGGAUCAAAUGAAUUAGUACAAGCAAAACGUUUAUUAUAGUGCCUGGCAUAGAGUAAGCACUAAAUAAGUGCAACUGAUCAUUGUAAUUUAUAUUGGUCAAUUAGAUCAUAGUACAUAAGAUGUGAAAACUACACAGCCAUUUAAGGUGCAUAAUACAGAUUCGUAUUUACAUAGAAAGACAUCUGAAUACAAAAGUUUUCAGAAGGAAGUUACAAACCUUAUAAAAUUACAAAUGCCCACAAUUUUAAAAGUCUGAAAAGAAAUACAUGAGAGUAUUAUGACAUGAUUGUCUCUGAGUGGCAAGAUUCUAGACAAUGUUUUUGUUCUUUGUGCAUUUUAUUAUUCAAAAUAUUUUAAUGAUGAGCGUGUAUUCCUUUCAAAAGCAGAAAAAAUGUUAAAACACAACAAUGUCAAAAAUGAUAUGUUGGUACCACCAGUUUCUUAAUAUUUUGAGGGGCCAAUACCAGAAGCGUGCUUGUGUUUUAUUAUGACAAGUAUAGAAUUACUCGGAAAUAUCACGACUGAUACGGAAGUCAGAACAUUCCCUCUCAAAAAUGUGCUUUGAUUGCUGGGCUGACAGAAUUAGGUGACAACUUGUUUACCUUAAGAUCAUGAGCAGUGUCUUGGGCCAUUAUCAUAAGUGCGUGAGCCAGAUAUUGGUGGCUCAGACUGGCUGUAUCAGAGCCAGAUAUUGAUGAAAAUGCAUUUGGACGUGCUCUGUACUCUGGACUGAAUUACUCUGUUGCCAGCAAUAAGCCAGGGCACCAACUGUUCAAGCCUUGAUUAUCAAUAUGUGUGCCCUGGGAAUAAUACAUACUAGUAUUGAGAGUAGUAUCCGUGUAUUCUGACCUAGAAUGACUUUAGCUAUGGGGGUGGGGGGGUCUCGAUGAUUAAUGUGCUGUAUAAAUAAUAAACAUUUUUUAAAUAUAAAAUUUUUUAAUAUUUAACUUAAAAGACAAACAUAAAAAGUGAAAUGCUUUGUAUUUUGUGGUUAAUGUCCCUUAUUAUCCCUUUAAAAUACUGAAAUUCUAUGAGUGUCACUUUUAGUAUUACCAUAGUUUUUAAAACGUUUUGAAGACUACAUAUCAAUGUCAUAUUAAAAUGUUUCUGUAAUGUAUGUUUAAUAAAUUGUGUGGUUGUUUGUUAAAUGUUAUAUCCCUUUAUUCUCAGUUUGAUUUUGAAAAUUCAUCUACGUUAAAAACAAAAAUACUGGCCAA